UACGGAGGGAGCUAGCGUUGUUCGGAAAUACUGGGCGUAAAGCGCACGUAGGCGGCGCAGCAAGUCAGGGGUGAAAUCCCGGGGCUCAACCCCGGAACUGCCCUUGAAACUGCAGUGCUAGAAUCUUGGAGAGGCGAGUGGAAUUCCGAGUGUAGAGGUGAAAUUCGUAGAUAUUCGGAAGAACACCAGUGGCGAAGGCGACUCACUGGCCCGAUACUGACGCUGAGGCGCGAAAGCGUGGGGAGCAAACAGG
rnacentral:rRNA from 1 species